ensembl:lncRNA
AAUUUUGUGCCUUUCAGCCGUUGCAUUUUCUUAGUAUAGUCAAAAUGGAGACUUAAAAGAAUUAAACAUGUAUCUUCACAAAAAAUACAAAGGUACGUUAGAUAUCUAUAUUGCUUAGGAGUUUGAAUAACAGGACACUACUUAGUGUUCUGCUCAUUUGGUUUCAGAAUUUAGGGGUUAUUUUUAAAAGGAAAAAUGAUUGUUUUGAGUGCUUGGCUCUUAAAAGUCUGGCUCUGAGUUGCUAUAUAUUCAGCCAUGUUUCUAGUAGUUAAUUAUCAAACCUCCACUUCUGCAACCAGGUAGGGAAGGUAGAUUUCUCUCCAUUUUAAGCCCUUUGCAAAGCUCACAUUCUCUUCAGCAACAUUUCUCUCCAGCAAAUUUGCAAAGCUCGCUUCUGCAAGUAGGUAGGGAAGGGAGAGCAACCGUUUAAAGACCGCGUGGAGAUUUCUAUCCAACAAGUUUGCAAAGCUUGCUUCUGCAAGCAGGAAGGAAAGGAAGAGCAACCGUUUUAAGCUCGCUUUGAGAUUUCUAUCCAGCAAAUUUGCAAAGCUCGCUUCUGCAAGUAGGUAGGGAAGGGAGAGCAACCGUUUUAAGCCCACUUGGAGAUUUCUAUCCAGCAAAUUUGAAAAGCUUGCUUCUGCAAGCAGGAAAAGAAGGGAGAUUUUUCUCCAGCAACUGCUUUAAGAGCCCUUUGGAAGAGAUAUUUCUUAUAUAUCCGAAGGUUAUCCAAAGGCAUUCCGAGGCAUGGACACCAAUGCUUCAAAUUGGAAGAUUAAAUUUGAAGCACCAAACUACCUCAGAAACCCCUUUGUAUCUAUUUUGAAUAAUGAAUUUAUUACGAUUAAUGACGUUUUCCGACGAUUUGCCCAUGCCUAGUCCAGACUGUAAUAAUUUUGCACAGAAAGAUUUUUUUCCUAUAAAGGAGAUGUGUGUACCAUUCAAAAAUACUGUCUCCUUUGCAAAACCACCAUGUGUGAAUUCUGCACAGGGUAACACCCCAAACAACAUUUUAUGCACUGAAAAUAAUUAUUCUUGGCAUAAUCCCCCCUUCCCCAGAAAGUACUCUUUUCUAUAUAACACAAGAACAUGCAUUUUUUGUGUGGAGAAAGUUUCUAACUUCACAUUUCCUUUCUUGGAUAAUUGCAAUAUUUUUUCUGAUGAGAAAAUGUUUGAAUUAACAAUUGGGUGAAGAGAGAGAUAAGAAAUCUGCUUGCGUUUACAUUAAGAUAUUCACGUGCACAUAUGAGGUCCAGUGCAUAAUUAAGUGAAUCGUUUAAAAAAAAAAAACUUCCACUAGAUGUCCCCCAUUGUGAUGUCUCAUGGGCCUUGUAGUCCCGUUCCUAGUGCUAUUGUGGCAGAUGAGGAGGAAAAUUUGGGAUUUCCACCGGUUCAGCUUGAAUCGGAGCCUUGCCACCUGGAGGAUGUUUGUCCUCAGGAAGUUAACCAAACAAGCCUUGGGCAGAAUUCUCCCCCGUUUUCCCGAAAGGACAAUUAUAAUAGAGAUAGAGGAGCCAGGGAGGCUAAUCGCUGGAGCCUCAGAAUCGCUGCCAGACAAUUAGCUGAUUAGGUCUGCUUCCCUUGGGAAAUUCUAAGGAGUCAUACAUCUGGACAGAGUUGGGUUUCAUUUCUUGUUCUCCAGGGAAAGUGUUCUGUUGGUGGGAAAACAAGACCCUAUAUAGGGGUUUUGCCGCAAGGGGAACCUUGCGGAGUCAAUUGUUCAGCUUGAGGAGAGAGAUCGUGUGUGGACUUCGUACCCCAGUUCCUUGUUUUCCGGAUCGAGUUUCCAGCCUUGCCUUGUUUCACGGACUUCUAUGGACUUAGUUCAUGUUUCAUGUUUGCCUCGUUUCAAGUUUGAUCUAGCCAAGAUUCAAGCCUAUUUUCCAGCCUUGUUGUCAAGCUACCUUGGACUCUAAAGACCCUGUCAUUCCCCACACCAUUGCUUGGCAAGGUGUGUGUUUCGUUCAAGUGGAUUAUAACUUUGGACUUUAAUAUCUUAUAUUGGACAAUAUAUUUCUGGACUAUAUUUGACCUCAUCUGAAAGGUCUGCUUCUGAACUAUAUUCUUUACUUGUUUUUAUUGACUUUAUAUAUUUCUUUAAUAAAGAUAUUAGAUAGAUUCUGGUCUCUGCGCAUGGUUAUUGGUGCUCUGCAGCCUGGGUCCUGACAGUUUGACUCCGCCACCUUAAGCACCAAUUAACCAAGGCCAGAAUGUCUACAGGAACCGGAGCGGAGGCUCAACCGGCCAGUUACACCAUUUCCCAAG